rnacentral:ncRNA from 1 species
AUUGCCAAUAGUCUCGCAAUGUAGGGAACCAGGGGCAGGUUGAGAAUGAGCAGGAUGAUGUUGCCGAAAUACAUCGAAAAGAUCACCGACCAGAAAACUUCCGGGCGGUCCUGCAUCAGGAGCGGAC